UACGAGAGGCCCAAACGUUAUUCGGAUUUACUGGGCUUAAAGAGUUCGUAGGCGGCGCAGAAAGUAGGGUGUGAAAGCCCUCGGCUCAACCGAGGAAUUGCGCCCUAAACUACUGUGCUUGAGGGACCUAGAGGUGAGCAGAACAGAUGGUGGAGCGGUGAAAUGCGUUGAUAUCAUCUGGAAUACCGGGAGGCGAAGGCGGCUCACUGGGGGGUCUUC
rnacentral:rRNA from 1 species